AAUAGUUUUUUAAAUGGAAACUGGGAUGAAUGAAGUGAUGAGAUUUAAACUGUCUUAAAUUGAAUUAAUGAAUUUAUUAAUUGAGUUAAAAUACUUAAAUGAGAGCAUGGGACGAGAAGACCCUAUAGAAUUUUAUAUAAAUUUAAUGAAAGGUUUAUAAUUGUAAUCAUUUGAUUUAUAUUUUAUUGGGAGGAUAGUUAAAUUAAAGUAACUUUAAUAAAUAAAAAUCCAUUAGUGUAUGAAUUAUAGUAUGAGAAUGAUAAAAAAGUUUUAGUAAAAUUAAUUACCUUAGGGAUAACAGCGUUAUAUUUUUAGAGAGAUCAUAUUAAUAAAAAUGUUUGC
rnacentral:rRNA from 1 species